GUGUCAGCAGCCGCGGUAAUACGGGGGGGGCGAGCGUUGUUCGGAAUUACUGGGCGUAAAGGGUUCGUAGGUGGCCUUCUCAGUCAGAUGUGAAAUCCCUCGGCUCAACUGAGGAACUGCAUCUGAUACUGGAAGGCUCGAGUGCAGGAGAGGAACGCGGAAUUCCAGGUGUAGCGGUGAAAUGCGUAGAUAUCUGGAGGAACACCGGUGGCGAAGGCGGCGUUCUGGACUGCAACUGACACUGAGGAACGAAAGCCAGGGGAGCAAACGGGAUUAGAUACCCUCGUAGUCC
rnacentral:rRNA from 1 species